AACGAACGCUGGCGGCAGGCUUAACACAUGCAAGUCGAACGAGCUGGGACCUUCGGGUCCCGAUGCUAGUGGCGCACGGGUGAGUAACACGUGGGAACGUACCCUUUAGUACGGAAUAACUGAGGGAAACUUCAGCUAAUACCGUAUGACUCCUUCGGGAGAAAGAUUUAUCGCUAAAAGGAUCGGCCCGCGUCUGAUUAGGUAGUUGGUGAGGUAAUGGCUCACCAAGCCUACGAUCAGUAGCUGGUCUGAGAGGAUGAUCAGCCACACUGGGACUGAGACACGGGCCCAGACUCCUACGGGAGGCAGCAGUGGGGAAUAUUGGACAAU
rnacentral:rRNA from 1 species